rnacentral:rRNA from 1 species
GAACGAGAAAGGGUAGCAAUACCUGAGUAAAGUGGCGCACGGGUGAGUAACACGUGACUAACCUACCCUUGAGUGGGGGAUAACCUAGGGAAACCUGGGCUAAUACCGCAUAACACCUACGGGUCAAAGGAGCAAUUCGCUUGAAGAGGGGGUCGCGGCUGAUUAGCUAGUUGGCGGGGUAACGGCCCACCAAGGCGAUGAUCGGUAGCCGGCCUGAGAGGGCGCACGGCCACACUGGAACUGAAACACGGUCCAGACUCCUACGGGAGGCAGCAGUGGGGAAUUUUGCGCAAUGGGGGAAACCCUGACGCAGCAACGCCGCGUGGAGGAUGAAGCCCUUUGGGGCGUAAACUCCUUUCGACCAAGACGAUAAUGACGGUACUGGUGGAAGAAGCACCGGCUAACUCUGUG